GACGAACGCUGGCGGCGCGCUUAACACAUGCAAGUCGAGCGAGAACCAGGGCUUCGGCUCUGGGGACAGCGGCGAACGGGUGAGUAACACGUGAGUAAUCUGCCCUCGACACUGGGAUAGCCCGGGGAAACCCGGAUUAAUACCGGAUAGCCUUUCGAGCUCUCGGGCUCGUCAGAAAAGGAUGGCUUCGGCUUUCGGUUGAGGAUGAGCUUGCGGCGGAUUAGCUUGUUGGUGAGGAACGGCUCACCAAGGCGACAAUCCGUAGCUGGUCUGAGAGGACGAUCAGCCACACUGGGACUGAGACACGGCCCAGACUCCUACGGGAGGCAGCAGUGGGGAAUCUUGCGCAAUGAGCGAAAGCUUGACGCAGCGACGCCGCGUGAGGGAAGAAGGCCUU
rnacentral:rRNA from 1 species